UGAGCCUGCGUUAGAUUAGCUAGUUGGUAGGGUAAAGGCCUACCAAGGCGACGAUCUAUAGCUGGUCUGAGAGGACGAUCAGCCACACUGGGACUGAGACACGGCCCAGACUCCUACGGGAGGCAGCAGUGGGGAAUAUUGGACAAUGGGCGAAAGCCUGAUCCAGCAAUACCGCGUGUGUGAAGAAGGCCUUAGGGUUGUAAAGCACUUUCAAUUGGGAGGAAAACCUGCCGGUCAAUACCCGGUAGCUUGACAUUACCUUUAGAAGAAGCACCGGCUAACUCCGUGCCAGCAGCCGCGGUAAUACGGAGGGUGCGAGCGUUAAUCGGAAUUACUGGGCGUAAAGCGUGCGUAGGCGGUUCGUUAAGUCAGAUGUGAAAGUCCUGGGCUCAACCUGGGAACUGCAUUUGAAACUGGCGGACUAGAGUUUAGUAGAGGGGAGUGGAAUUUCAGGUGUAGCGGUGAAAUGCGUAGAUAUCUGAAGGAACACCAGUGGCGAAGGCGACUCC
rnacentral:rRNA from 1 species